rnacentral:misc_RNA from 1 species
UCCGGCUUGUCACCGGCAGUUUCCUUAGAGUUCUCAGCUUAACCUGUUAGCAACUAAGGAUGAGGGUUGCGCUCGUUGCGGGACUUAACCCAACAUCUCACGACACGAGCUGACGACAGCCAUGCAGCACCUGUGUGGUAGCCAGCCGAACUGAAGGAGAACGUUUCUGCUCUCCAUACUACCCAAGUCAAGGCCUGGUAAGGUUCUUCGCGUUGCCUCGAAUUAAACCACAUGCUCCACCGCUUGUGCGGGUCCCCGUCAAUUCCUUUGAGUUUUAAUCUUGCGACCGUACUCCCCAGGCGGAGUGCUUAAUGCGUUAGCGACGCCACUGAGACUGAAAGUCCCAACGGCUAGCACUCAUCGUUUACAGCGUGGACUAC